AACUGUGGCGUCGUCAGCCUCCAUACAG
rnacentral:piRNA from 1 species